rnacentral:lncRNA from 1 species
UGGAACUGGAACAAGAGCAGUGGCGUGGGAAGCCCUUUCCCUGGCGUGGGGAGAUGCUUGAGCUGCACACCGAGCAUCAUCCUGCCUGACAGGGACACAGGAGCAGAGAUCAGCUGCAGGUAACCACACCUGGGUGAGGCCCCAUCGCCGCCCGGCCUGGACUCAGCUUUGUCACAGGUGUGCGCUGGCACGGACACCCCACAGGUAACGGUGCGCAGCCAGCCCGGCACCGCACCUGCAGCUUGUUUGCACCCUCAUUAGUGACUCAUUUGGCAGGUGGGUAAAGGAGAUAAUCCAGGCUGUGCGAGGGAGGCUGCUGUUUGUUUCAGGGGGGUGGAUUGCCGCCGGGCUGGGGAGCAGCGGCGCCGCAGCGGCGGCGGUUCCGUGCCCGGGGAGGCACCGGGUGGGUCCUGCAGCAUUCCCCGGGCUGGGACCCUGCAGCAUUCCCCGGGCUGGGACCCUGCAGCAUUCCCGGCUGGGACCCUGCCUGCACCGGGACCUGGGGCCGGAGCUGUGCCUGCACCUGGACUCGGCUGCCAGGGCUGGCUUUGCAAACUGCAGCUGCUGAGAAUGGGAAGGCAGCUAGAGCAGCAUCACUCCAGCUGUGGAACUGGGAUGCUGCAGCAGAAACCUGCAGGAGGAGGACAAACAAACACGCUGGGCUCCUGAAGCGCCGUGUUUUGAUGGACUUACUGUUCCACUUGUGAUGCAAUGGACUGAGGAGCCAGUGGCUCUGCUGCUGCAGGGAUCUGGUGACAAUGCUGUGACCAUGAGAACAUGUAUGGCCAUGUCCUGCUGGUGCAGGUGGUGGCUGUCACCCUGCAGCUCCUUGGCUCUGUCCAUCCCAGGCUCAGGAGCAGGUGAGUAGCCAGUGGUUACUGGGUCAUCAUACAAAUCCCCUCCUGCCCCAUCCCAACAACUCCUUUGUU